rnacentral:lncRNA from 1 species
CUGGUCCUCACAUGGUCUCCACUAACACCGUGGUGGGGGUGGCCUCCCUACUGAGGAGUAAUGCCAAACAUUCUGACUCUGCAUGGAGCUUCUUUGACACCAGAGAGUAAAGAAGGGAAGGAAUACCUCAUUAAUGCUGGCCUCUCAUUUCAAUUUUGAGAGAACCUGAAUUUUAUUGUCUCUCUUUCAAGCUUACCAGCGAGAGCAGGAUUUAUUUUGAAGUUUCAGGGAAAGUACUUAAUGGAUGUUACAACGUAUUUGCUGACAAUACAAGAGAGAAGACUGAUCAUAUUGGAAAUAUUAAAGGUAAUACCGAUUUUUAUAGAAGACGUGGGAAUUCUUUGAGGUGAAAUAAAUUAUUAGGUUGCUGUCAAGAACACAAAGGAAGAGAGUGAUAAGACAGAACUGCUUGGCAUGCUACUUUUAAUUUUUUUUUUUUUUUUUUUUUAGUUUGGAAAAAUCCAAAUUAAAAAAGUCAAAGUUUUAGAGUGGUCACCAUAUUCCUCUUUUUUUUUAGAAGAAAUCCAUCACUUUGAUUAAUGUUUACAUCUAUCAAAUACCUUUUGGUUGAGGCCUAUCUUCACUAACUAGUAAUGCUGAAUUUCCAUUCAUGACAUGGCUCUAUAGCUCAUUUCCCUCCCUCUGUUCAUUUGUCAAGGAUCUGAGUUUGAGAUUCUGAGAGUAGAAAAGGGUGUUUGAAAACAUCUGGCUUAGUCUCUUCAUUUUACAUAAUGAGCAACCCUAGGCUUGGGCAUUUAAAUAACUGGUCCAAGGUUACUCAGCCAUCUAGUGGCAAAGACAAAACCAGAGUCCACACGUAGUCCUUCUCCCAUGUCUCCUGUUUUUAAAAUUCAUCAUGUAUGGUCUCUUUAAAUCCUUAACUUUCCCAUAUAUCCAGCAUUUUCCUUCUGGAGAUUGGUCAACGUGAGUGGACACUAACAUAAGUCAUGGACCCCACUAGAUUCAACCCAGUCUUUGUGGGGGAAUCCAGACAUAAUCUUACCAUUGUUGGGAACCUCACUCAAUUUUUUUGUCAUCUUCGACUAACAGACACCUGUCCUCUGCUUUAAUAUUAUAAUGUCAGAGGAUGCUUGAAUUUCCAAGAUAGGUCACUCCUUUACUGAGCAGAGCUUUUUAUAUGGAGAAGUCUGUUUUGAGCAAAAUAUGCCCACCUACAACUUCUACCCAUCAGGCAAGGUUUCCCAAUAAAGAGAAAGUGGCUCACUUCCCUACCCCAGUACAAGAAAAGAGCAAACCAUCUCCCUUGGGUCUCAGUACUUGAAUCUUUGAAAUUUAAUAAGACAUUUCCAGCCCAG